rnacentral:rRNA from 1 species
GAUGAACGCUGGCGGCGUGCCUAAUACAUGCAAGUCGAGCGAACAGACGAGGAGCUUGCUCCUCUGACGUUAGCGGCGGACGGGUGAGUAACACGAGGAUAACCUACCUAUAAGACUGGGAUAACUUCGGGAAACCGGAGCUAAUACCGGAUAAUAUGUUGAACCGCAUGGUUCAAUAGUGAAAGACGGUUUUGCUGUCACUUAUAGAUGGAUCCGCGCCGCAUUAGCUAGUUGGUAAGGUAACGGCUUACCGAGGCAACGAUGCGUAGCCGACCUGAGAGGGUGAUCGGCCACACUGGAACUGAGACACGGUCCAGACUCCUACGGGAGGCAGCAGUAGGGAAUCUUCCGCAAUGGGCGAAAGCCUGACGGAGCAACGCCGCGUGAGUGAUGAAGGUCUUCGGAUCGUAAAACUCUGUUAUUAGGGAAGAACAAAUGUGUAAGUAACUAUGCACGUCUUGACGGUACCUAAUCAGAAAGCCACGGCUAACUACGUG